GACGAACGCUGGCGGCGUGCUUAACACAUGCAAGUCGAACGGAAAGGCCCUGCUUUUGUGGGGUGCUCGAGUGGCGAACGGGUGAGUAACACGUGAGUAACCUGCCCUUGACUUUGGGAUAACUUCAGGAAACUGGGGCUAAUACCGGAUAGGAGCUCCUGCUGCAUGGUGGGGGUUGGAAAGUUUCGGCGGUUGGGGAUGGACUCGCGGCUUAUCAGCUUGUUGGUGGGGUAGUGGCUUACCAAGGCUUUGACGGGUAGCCGGCCUGAGAGGGUGACCGGCCCCAUUGGGACUGAGAUACGGCCCAGACUCCUACGGGAGGCAGAAGUGGGGAAUAUUGCACAAUGGGCGGAAGCCUGAUGCAGCCACGCCGCGUGCGGGAUGACGGCCUUCGGGUUGUAAACCGCUUUCGCCUGUGACGAAGCGUGAGUGACGGUAAUGGGUAAAGAAGCACCGGCUAACUACGUG
rnacentral:rRNA from 1 species